GACGAACGCUGGCGGCGUGCCUAAUACAUGCAAGUCGAACGCAGUGGGGACGGGUGAGUAACACGUGGGUAACCUCCCAUCAGAGGGGAUAACACUUGGAAACAGGUGCUAAACCGAUACUGAUGGAUGGACCCGCGGUGCAUUAGCUAGUUGGGGAGGUAACGGCUCACCAAGGCCACGAUGCAUAGCCGACAUGGGAGGGGUGUCGGCCCCACGGGGACGGAGACACGGCCCAGGACCCCUCGGGAGGCAAGAAGAGGGAAUCUUCGGCAAUUGGCCAAAGUUUGACCGGGCAAAGCCCGCGGGGUGAAAAAGGUUUGCCGAUCGUAAAACUCUUUUGUUAGGGAAGCGGUAUCUAACCAGAAAGCCACGGCUAACUACGUGCCAGCCGCCGCGGUAAUAC
rnacentral:rRNA from 1 species